rnacentral:rRNA from 1 species
GAUGAACGCUAGCGGCAGGCCUAAUACAUGCAAGUCGAACGAUACCAGAGAGCUUGCUUUCUGGGAAAGUGGCGCACGGGUGCGUAACGCGUAUGCAACCUACCUUAAUCAGGGGGAUAGCCUCUCGAAAGAGAGAUUAACACCGCAUAACAUUAUGAUAUGGCAUCAUAUUAUAAUCAAAUAUUUAUAGGAUUAAGAUGGGCAUGCGUGACAUUAGCUAGUUGGUGAGGUAACGGCUCACCAAGGCUACGAUGUCUAGGGGAUCUGAGAGGAUGUCCCCCCACACUGGUACUGAGACACGGACCAGACUCCUACGGGAGGCAGCAGUAGGGAAUAUUGGACAAUGGGGGCAACCCUGAUCCAGCCAUGCCGCGUGCAGGAAGACUGCCCUAUGGGUUGUAAACUGCUUUUGUACGGGAAGAAACCUUCGAAUGCGUUCGGAGUUGACGGUACCGUGAGAAUAAGGAUCGGCUAACUUCGUGCCAGCAGCCGCCGUAACAC